rnacentral:misc_RNA from 1 species
AUUGCGAUGGCUAUCUUGAUGCAUGCCAUCCCGUGUCGACAUGAGCCGUGCCCCUUAAGUCUUGUCCGUAGCCUCUAGAGGCAAGGAUGAACAAGGCAUGGCUGUGCUUUUGGUCGCGGUCGCUUCCGUGCUGUUCCACCUCUGGAGUCCGUGGUGGUGGACGCCGAUUGCUUCAAACUGGAGCUACAUCGACGACACCAUCACGAUGACGUUCU